GACGAACGCUGGCGGCGUACUUAACACAUGCAAGUCGAACGGAAAGGCCUGCUUUCCCUUGUGGAUUGCGGGUACUCGAGCGGCGAACGGGUGAGUAACACGUGAGUGAUCUGCCCCCAACUUGGGUAUAAGCCUGGGAAACUGGGUCUAAUUCCCGAUAGGACUGCAGGGUGGUGCCUGUGGUGGAAAACGAUUUUCUAGUGGUUGGGGAUGAGCUCGCGGCCUAUCAGCUUGUUGGUGGGGUAAUGGCCUACCAAGGCGGCGACGGGUAGCCGGCCUGAGAGGGUGGACGGCCACAUUGGGACUGAGAUACGGCCCAGACUCCUACGGGAGGCAGCAGUGGGGAAUAUUGCACAAUGGGCGGAAGCCUGAUGCAGCGACGCCGCGUGGGGGAUGACGGCCUUCGGGUUGUAAACUCCUUUCGACCGCGAGGAAGCCACCUGGUUGGAGGGGUGGUGACGGUAGUGGUAGAAGAAGCACCGGCUAACUACGUG
rnacentral:rRNA from 1 species